rnacentral:rRNA from 1 species
UUGACCUCGGAUCAGGUAGGAAUACCCGCUGAACUUAAGCAUAUCAAUAAGCGGAGGAAAAGAAACCAACAGGGAUUGCCUCAGUAACGGCGAGUGAAGCGGCAACAGCUCAAAUUUGAAAUCUGGCGCAAGCCCGAGUUGUAAUUUGUAGAGGAUGCUUCUGGGCAGCGGCCGGUCUAAGUUCCUUGGAACAGGACGUCAUAGAGGGUGAGAAUCCCGUAUGCGACCGGUUGGCACCCGUCACGUAGCUCCUUCGACGAGUCGAGUUGUUUGGGAAUGCAGCUCUAAACGGGAGGUAAAUGUCUUCUAAAGCUAAAUAUUGGCCAGAGACCGAUAGCGCACAAGUAGAGUGAUCGAAAGAUGAAAAGCACUUUGGAAAGAGAGUUAAAAAGCACGUGAAAUUGUUGAAAGGGAAGCGCAAGCAAUCAGACUUGUCGGCGGUGUUCCCCCGGUCUUCUGACCGGGCUACUCGCCGCCGGCAGGCCAACAUCAUUUGGGCGCGCCGGAUAAAGACGUAAGGAAUGUGGCCCCCUCGGGGGUGUUAUAGCCUUGCGUGCAAUACGGUGUCGCCCGAGUGAGGUCCGCGCUUCGGCUAGGAUGUUGGCGUAAUGGUUGUUUGCGGCCCGUCUUGAAACACGGACCAAGGAGUCUAACAUCUAUGCGAGUGUUCGGGUGUCAAACCCCUACGCGUAAUGAAAGUGAACGGAGGUGGGAACGAAAGUGCACCAUCGACCGAUCCUGAUGUCUUCGGAUGGAUUUGAGUAAGAGCAUAGCUGUUGGGACCCGAAAGAUGGUGAACUAUGCCUGAAUAGGGUGAAGCCAGAGGAAACUCUGGUGGAGGCUCGCAGCGGUUCUGACGUGCAAAUCGAUCGUCAAAUUUGGGUAUAGGGGCGAAAGACUAAUCGAACCAUCUAGUAGCUGGUUC